rnacentral:rRNA from 1 species
AGAGAGAGACAUGCGCGCAUAUCAAUAAGCGGAGGAAAAGAAACUAACAAGGAUUCCCCUAGUAACGGCGAGUGAAGCGGGAAGAGCUCAAAUUUGAAAUCUUAAAGGGUUUCCCUUUACGAAUUGUAGUUUAAAGAAGUGUUUUCUGUUGAGGUUUUGGUAAAAGUUCUUUGGAAUAGGACAUCAUAGAGGGUGAGAAUCCCGUAUUUGACCUUUACUUUCAACUUUGUGAUACACUUUCAAAGAGUCGGAUUGUUUGGGAAUGCAGUCCAAGAUGGGUGGUAAAUUUCAUCUAAAGCUAAAUAUUGGCGAGAGACCGAUAGCGAACAAGUACCGUGAGGGAAAGAUGAAAAGAACUUUGAAAAGAGAGUUAAACAGUACGUGAAAUUGUCAAAAGGGAAGCGUUUGACACCAGUGUUGUUUUUCUGAAAAUCAAUUAAAGAACUGUUUAUGCUAAGUUGUUUAGACUUUAUCAGCUAACUGUUUAGUUUUGAGCUUUUCUUUAAUGCACUUUUCAGUUAACAAGUCAACAUCAAUUUCUUUUGCUGUAAAAAAGCUUGAGGAAGGUGGCUUGAGAUUCGUCUUAAGUGUUUAUAGCCUCUUGCCUAUGCAGUCGGAGAGAUUGAGGUCUGCAGCGUAGAUCCUUCGGGGCUAAAUGCAUUUGUGCUAAGUUAUAGCAUUUUAUAGACAACUUGUUGACUAUGAUUUGUCUUGUAGCUUACUCGCUUAUGUUAUUUUACCUACGCUUAGGAUGUUGACGCAUGAGAUAUACGC